rnacentral:rRNA from 1 species
CUACGGGGUGCAGCAGUGGGGAAUAUUGCACAAUGGGGGAAACCCUGAUGCAGCAACGCCGCGUGGAGGAUGACGCAUUUCGGUGUGUAAACUCCUUUUAUAUAGGAAGAUAAUGACGGUACUAUAUGAAUAAGCACCGGCUAACUCCGUGCCAGCAGCCGCGGUAAUACGGAGGGUGCAAGCGUUACUCGGAAUCACUGGGCGUAAAGCGCGCGCAGGCGGUUUGAUAAGUUGGAUGUGAAAGCCUACGGCUCAACCGUAGAACUGCAUCCAAAACUGUCAAACUAGAGUCUGGGAGGGGAAGAUGGAAUUAGUGGUGUAGGGGUAAAAUCCGUAGAGAUAACUAGGAAUACCAAAAGCGAAGGCGAUCUUCUGGAACAGUACUGACGCUGAGGCGCGAAAGCGUGGGGAGCAAACAGGAUUAGAUACCCGUGUAGUC